UUCUCUUUUCCCAAAAUUGAUCAAUUUUUCUUUUUAAGAUAUUUUCUUUUUGCAUUGCUUUCAUUUCUUUCCCGAUUUUUCUUCAAACUCUCUUAUUUGAUUUUUGAAUUUCUUUUUGAGUAUUUCUAUAUCUUGAGACAAAUUUCCAUUUUAAAAAAUAAUUUGCUUGUGGUUGCUUGGAUCUCACCAUCUCAUUAUCCCCUCUUUAUUUUGUGCUUUACCCUUUGUCCCAUAUGCAUUUUUGAGGGUUAAAUAUUUCUUCUGCUGUUUGCUCAUUUUCCCAGUCUUUUUUUUUUUGGUCUGUGGGUUGUGAAUUCCAAAAGCUGCUUGCUGAUUCUAUCUCCUCUGUUGUCUUGUAGAGAUUGACACUGUGAGCUAUUUUGCCCUGGGGUUUUCUUCAUCAAAGCAGAGCAUACCUGAAAGGGCUCAGUAUUAUGGACUUCUGAAAAUCACUGUGGAAUGGUGCCUGCAUCUGAGAUUUCAAGAUUGCCAAUCUUCCAUUUAAAAUAUGAUCCCCUGAACUGGACACAACUAUUCAGAUGUGUUUAACAAGAAUAAGAGAAGGAAAAGAAAAGAGGAGAAAAGGCAGAAGAAGAAAAGGCUGAGGAGAACUAAGAAGAGGAAUUGCAGAGGGAAAAGAAGAAAAAAGAACCAAUAUUUAAUGCUUUAAAAUUUGCAGUGUAUUUAUGAACAUUGUAAUAUAGCAAAACAAAGGUCCAAUAAUUUUUUAAAUGUCAAGUUACUUCCUUUUAAAAAGAAAAAGCCUUCAGUGACAUAUAUUUUACCUCAAUUCUUCAGCUUGAUUUUGAAGUUCCUUUAAUGUCUGGCUCUCCCUUUCUUAUUUAAAUGCAUUUCUUACUUUUCACCCUGUGUUUUCUACCAUAAAUCAUAUCAACCUCCCACCAAAUUCCAAUCUUGCCAUUCUAACCCCUGCCUUUAUACCUGUGAUAGUGUUCUUCCCUCCCCUUGAAAGUCUGUUUCAUUCUUUUUUCAGUUAUAUAACUUAAUAAUUUCCCAAGUUCAACUCCUCACUCUGUAUUGUACUAUUUAAGGCAAGUACACUUAUUCACCUCAUUUCAAAAACAUUCAACAAAUAUUUAUUAAAAUCUUGGAGCAUUUUUUAUUUUCCCCAGAAUGUAUUACUCUUCUUAUCCUUGAUGUCUGUUUUCAUGUAUGAUACCCCUUUAAGCUCUCUAGGAACUGAAUUAAUAAUUGACUGAUGAAAUGAUACAUAGGGCACCCCUCUCUUUUCUUUUCUAAAGUAAAAUAAGUAAUAUAAGCAUAAAAAUCAUGUAAGCAAAGAGAGUUUUAGAGACAUCUUUUUGUGCUUCCAUAAUUUUUGAGUUGCAUAUACUCUUCUAGGUAUAAUACACAAUAUUGAUAUUAGUGUAAGAUGGGUAUAGAUUAAGAUAACUCUCCUAACAUGGCAUUUCUUAAGAAAGAAAAAAUAUUUAGUAAGAAGACUAAAAAAUGAUUGGCACUCAAAUUUUAUAUUUUUUGUAUAUUUAAGUAAUCCCUACAUUAAAAAACUUCAUCUACUUAAUAAGGAAAAAGGCAUGUACAAGAAUAUUCAUAGUUGUGCUCUUUGUGGUGGCAAAAAAAAAAUGGAAAAUGAGGGGAUGCCCAUCAGUUGGGGAAUGGCUGAACAAAUUGUGGUAUAUGUUGGUGAUGGAAUACUAUUGUGCUUAAAAGAAUAAUAAAGUGGAGGAAUUCCAUGGAGAUUGGAACAACCUCCAAGAAGUGAUGCAGAGGGAAAGGGAGCAGAACCAGGAAAACAUUGUACACAGAGACUGAGACACUGUGGUACAAUCGAACAUAAUGGACUUCUCCAUUAGUGGUAAUACAAUGUCCCUAAACUAUCUGCAGGGACCAAGGAGAAAAAAACACUACCCUCAAGCAGAGGACAAAUGGUGGGAAUAAAAACACUGAGGAAAGGCAACAGCUUGACUACAGGGGUGGAGGGGAUAUGAUUGAGGAGAGACUCUGAAUGAACACCUUAAUGCAAAUACCAACAACACGGAAAAGAGUUUGGACCGAGGACACAUGUGAUACCUAGAGGAAUCACGCAUCGCCAUUAGGAGGGGUGGUGGGAGGGGGGUAGGAAAAAAUGAUCUUUGUUUCUAAU